CUUCAAUGUUUAUAUAAGUCUCCAUGUUGAUGUUUUACGAAAGCCAGUGGUAUCUUGAUGGGAGCACCAAAGUAGACCUUAUGCAAGCUUCCCUGUCUGUGUGGCAAGGAAUAGCUUUCAAGGACUUGGUGUAGGAGCCUCUUCUACUGACAGUUUUACAAGAAUGAGAACAUUGUAUGAUACCUGCUUUGAAAUCCCUUACUGCCGACUUAGGACCAUGGAGGAGGUGUUUCACCAUUAAUGAGAUUCCACAUGAAAGCACCUUGAUGGAAAACCCAAAGAAACGCAUUAUAGAAAAGACGAGGAGAAAAUGGUUGCUAGUCAUGCUGGCACCAUGACCUCUCCAGCGACACCAUUUCUCCAGCCACACAACACUAUGUGCUAAGGAAAAACCCUGAACUGGGGUUUAGA